rnacentral:sRNA from 1 species
GCUGGGUGUGGUGGUGCAUGCCUGUGAUCCCAGUGGCUCAGGAGGUUGAGGCAGGAGGAUCGCGAGUUCAAAGCCAGCCUCAGCAAUGGCGAAGCGCUAAGCAACUCAGACCCUGUCUCUA